CGGGGCUUCGGCCCCGGGGAGAGCGGCGAACGGGUGCGUAUCACGUGAGCAACCUGCCUCGGAGACCGGAAUAACUCGAGGAAACUCGGGCUAGUGCCGGAUGCCCUCGAUGGACCGCAUGGUCCGGCGAGGAAAUGGAUUCCGCUCCGAGAUGGGCUCGCGGCCUAUCAGCUUGUUGGUGGGGUAACGGCCUACCAAGGCGACGACGGGUAGCUGGUCUGAGAGGACGAUCAGCCACACUGGGACUGAGACACGGCCCAGACUCCUACGGGAGGCAGCAGUAGGGAAUCUUGCGCAAUGGGGGAAACCCUGACGCAGCGACGCCGCGUGCGGGAUGAAGGCCUUCGGGUCGUAAACCGCUUUCAGCAGGGACGAAAUUGACGGUACCUGCAGAAGAAGGCCCGGCCAACUACGUGCCAGCAGCCGCGGUGAUACGUAGGGGUCUAGCGUUGUCCGGAAUUAUUGGGCGUAAAGAGCUCGUAGGCGGUUCGGCAAGUCGGAUGUGAAAUCUCCACGCUUAACGUGGAGGGGCCAUUCGAAACUGCCGUGACUCGAGUCCGGUAGGGGAGUGCGGAAUUCCCGGUGUAGCGGUGAAAUGCGCAGAUAUCGGGAGGAACACCAGUGGCGAAGGCGGCACUCUGGGCCGGAACUGACGCUGAGGAGCGAAAGCGUGGGGAGCGAACAGGAUUAGAUACCCUGGUAGUCCACGCCGUAAACGUUGGG
rnacentral:rRNA from 1 species